rnacentral:rRNA from 1 species
UACAGAGGUGCCAAGCGUUAGGCGGAAUCACUGGGCUUAAAGCGUGUGUAGGCGGAUCGUUAAGUGUCUUGUGAAAUCCCACGGCUCACCCGUGGAACUGCUGGGCAUACUGGCGAUCUUGGGCCAACUAGGGGCAGCCGGAACAAGCGGUGGAGCGGUGAAAUGCGUAGAUAUCGCUUGGAACGCCGAAGGUGAAAACAGGCUGCUGGGGUUGCGCCGACGCUGAGACACGAAAGCCAGGGGAGCAAACGGG